AUGUCCGCUUUUCCCCAUUGGGCUUAAGAGGGAAGUUGAGAGAGGGCUUCCGGUAAGAGGCAGUUAGUAGGGUUAGUUCCUGCUGAUCAACAGAGCAAAAUAAACAAGAGGCAGGGGAUUUGGGAACUUCUUUCACAAAGGGCUGAAAGAACAAACACAUGGAGGAAAAACAUGAAACUUCCAAGGAGCAGGAAAGAAACUGAAGAGACAGGAAUCUGUUUCAUCCUGAAUAGUACAGUCCUAUGAGCAAAAACUCAGACAUCUUUGAGCGAUAGAAGAGACAACUGGGCCGGGGGCCAGUUCAGUGCGGACCUACAUUUCAACCACCAUGAUGAAGCCAUUGUGACAAGGCACCAUCAAUCAUCAUGUCCCUUUACCAGGAGGGCCCGUGUCAUAAGCCACUAUAUAAAGGGAAUGAUGGGUGGACUGCUUUGGACAAAUGGACCUGCGGUAGGAGAGAGGGACAACAGUAGGAGCAGGCAGAUCUUGCUGUUUCAACCAAAACCUCAUGCUGACCAGAGUUGAGGAACAGAAGAAGAUGGUGAAGGCCUGCAGGUAUAGGUGUUCAGCAUGUCAUCUGAAAUAUUCCCCACAGAGGCAAAAAGAAAGGAAAUUAUCUCUGAAAAGGAAUGGGAGGACAAGUCAGCAGAAUAUGUCAAUGUUUUGGUUGAAGAAGCUGCUUGAAUCUGGGCUUUUCUGUGCCAUGUGUUCUCCCAGGGCCAGCACAAAGAAGGGCUUUUGGUGCAGGCCCAAGACCACCAUAAUCAUCAUUGAUUAUUCCUCUCCACGCCAGUGUCUCUAAAUAAACUUUCUCUUCUUUCUCUGACAAA
rnacentral:lncRNA from 1 species